rnacentral:rRNA from 1 species
GACGAACGCUGGCGGCGCGCCUUACGCAUGCAAGUCGAGCGGGGUACAGGGCUUCGGCCCUGUACCUAGCGGCAGACGGCUGAGUAACACGUAAGUAACCUGCCCUCCAGUGGGGGAUAACCCCUCGAAAGAGGGGCUAAUACCGCAUGUGUUCCCGGAGGGAAGUUCUCCGGGAGGAAAGCCUUCGGGCGCUGGAGGAGGGGCUUGCGGCCUAUCAGGUAGUUGGUGGGGUAACGGCCUACCAAGCCUACGACGGGUAGCUGGUCUGAGAGGAUGGUCAGCCAGACGGGGACUGAGACACGGCCCCGACUCCUACGGGAGGCAGCAGCGAGGAAUCUUGCGCAAUGGGCGAAAGCCUGACGCAGCAACGCCGCGUGGGGGAAGAAGGCUUUCGAGUCGUAAACCCCUUUUGCAGGGGAAGAAGAUCUGACGGUACCCUGCGAAUAAGCCACGGCUAACUACGUGCCAGCAGCCGCGGUAAUACGUAGGUGGCAAGCGUUGUUCGGAUUUAUUGGGCGUAAAGGGCGUGUAGGCGGUCCAUUAAGUUCGGGGUGAAAUCUCCCGGCUCAACUGGGAGGGAUCGUCGGAUACUGAUGGACUAGAGGGGGGUAGAGGAAGGUGGAAUUCCCGGAGUAGCGGUGAAAUGCGUAGAUACCGGGAGGAACACCGGUGGCGAAGGCGGCCUUCUGGGCCUACCCUGACGCUGAGGCGCGAAAGCGUGGGGAGCAAACCGGAUUAGAUACCCGGGUAGUCCACGCCCUAAACGGUGGACACUAGGUGUGGGGGGUAUCGACCCCCUCCGUGCCGCAGCUAACGCUUUAAGUGUCCCGCCUGGGAAGUACGGCCGCAAGGCUAAAACUCAAAGGAAUUGACGGGGGCCC